rnacentral:rRNA from 1 species
UGGGGAAUAUUGGACAAUGGGCGCAAGCCUGAUCCAGCAAUGCCGCGUGUGUGAAGAAGGCCUUCGGGUUGUAAAGCACUUUUAUCAGGAGCGAAACGCUGUCGGCUAAUACCCGGCGGAACUGACGGUACCUGAGGAAUAAGCACCGGCUAACUUCGUGCCAGCAGCCGCGGUAAUACGAAGGGUGCAAGCGUUAAUCGGAAUUACUGGGCGUAAAGCGUGCGUAGGCGGUUUCUUAAGUCUGCUGUGAAAUCCCCGGGCUCAACCUGGGAAUGGCAGUGGAUACUGGGAGGCUAGAGUGUGUCAGAGGGUGGUGGAAUUCCCGGUGUAGCGGUGAAAUGCGUAGAGAUCGGGAGGAACAUCAGUGGCGAAGGCGGCCACCUGGGACAACACUGACGCUGAGGCACGAAAGCGUGGGGAGCAAACAGGAUUAGAUACCCUGGUAGUCCACGCCCUAAAACGAUGCGAACUGGAUGUUGGUCUCAACUCGGAGAUCAGUGUCGAAGCUAACGCGUUAAGUUCGCCGCCUGGGGAGUACGGUCGCAAGACU